rnacentral:pre_miRNA from 1 species
CGGGGGAGGCCGGAUCCUGGGCUGUGUCCCCGGGCACCUGUGUUCCCGGGCCUGCUCUGUUGGAUUUGCGCUCCCGGGCCGCGCAGCCCCCU